GGGGACUGAACAUCGUUCACCGAAUACACUUUGUGAUGCUGGGCUUGAAAUCUACUGUUUUCCUGUCUUAAAAGAGAAUUCUGUGACUCCAUGGAAGACAUCUGAAUUUUGUUAGCAAGGAGUUCUUCUGUAGCUGCACGUUCUCUCUCAACUGCUGCUGCCAGCAAGGUCUGGGAUUCACCUGAUUACAGGACAGAAAAAAAAAUCACAUACACAUACAGCCCAGAGACCAAAAUACCAAGUCAAUUCUGAUUUCAAACAUUUAAUGAUGCAAGUAGCCACACUUAAAACUGAUAACUAUUUAUUGCCUAAGGCAGGACUGUCUACUGAGACAAAUGAACCAAUCUUAACUUAUACCUGCUUUAUCACUCUUUUCCAAAAGUAUUUUAAUUUCAAAAUGGAGUCAUGCAUUAAAAGAGUAGUGGAUCACCAACACCAAAUGGUCCUGGAGCAACUGGACAGCUAUAUGCAAAAAAACCAAAAAGCCUACACAUCACAUCAUUCACGAAAAUUAACUCAAAAUGGAUCAUAGACUUAUAUGUAAAACAUGAAACUAUAAAACUUUUAGGAAAAAACAGAGGAGAAAGUCUUCAGGAUCUAGAACAAGGCAGAUUUGACACAAAAAGCAAGAGCCAUAGAAAGAAAAACUGACAAACUGCUUCAAAAUUUUCAACUUUUAAAUCUAUGUGAAGAGGAUGAAAAGGCAAACUACAGAGUGAGAGCAAAUAAAUGCAAACCAUAUAUCUAGGAUUAGUAUCAGGAAUAUAUAACAAUCUAGUUAGAAAAUGGGUAAACGACAUAGACAGAAAUUUCACCAUAGAGAAUGUACAAAUGGAAAAUAAGGACAUAAAAU
rnacentral:lncRNA from 1 species